UAUGUGUUCCUGGCUGGCUUGG
rnacentral:miRNA from 1 species